CUUUUUUUUUUCUGAUUCCCCUCCCUGUUCUGCCAUGGGGAGGCAGGAGGGAAUGAGCAAGUGGCUGCAUGGCACUUAAAUGUGGACCUGAGUUAAACUAUGACAACGUAAAUAGAUUAAAGACAAGAUAAGAAAGCCAGUAGAGCACAAUGAUAAAGACAUAGGAGAGGAACGAACCAGAUGAACUAAACAAAACAAGAAAUCUAAAUAAAUAACAAGAGAAGCUCACUGGACUUUCUUUAACAUUUGGAAAGAGGCAUGGCUCCUGAAUGCCAUUGAAGAAUUCCUGUA